GAUGUUUCAUCCAUUGGAUGUUUCCAUGAGAUGGAACCAGCAGACAAAGAAGUGGCAGGUGAGGGGUACGAAAUGUUAAAUCCCAGUUCAGUGCAGAAUGUACUUUAUUCUACAUUUCAUCGCAAGCAAUGAGAUGUCGCUAUCUUAUCCCCUUCUGAGCUUGAUCAACAUGCCCUGAAAUGGAAGAGUUUGGAAGAAAAGUAUUUGAAAGAUUGAGUCAGCGUAUGGUCCCCUGCACAACAGGAAAGAAGAGGACACAGGGAUGAUGGAGAAAUGUCUAAUAAACAGAGCAACAGAGUUUGUCAAUUUGUUGAUUGAAGAAAGAAAGAAAGAGUGACACAGAAUUAACUUGUCUGAUUUCUUAAAUGGCAGUGACGUUUUGUGCCUAUGUGGAAAGAGCAUGUGUGUUUCAUAUGUGUCAGCAAGGGCAUGGUCCUGCUAUUGUGGGGAACGUUCCUGGCUUCUGCACUACCCUAAUGGAAUCGGGUAGUGAAAGGAUCUGAGUCCUCGCUCCCACUCUCUUCAC